rnacentral:rRNA from 1 species
UACGGAGGGGGCAAGCGUUGCUCGGAAUUACUGGGCUUAGAGCGGGCGUAGGCGGCCCGGUCAGUCGAAUGUGAAAUCCCUCGGCUCAACCGAGGAAGUGCAUCCGAUACUGCCGGGCUUGAGGCAUUCAGGGGCGACUGGAACUCUCGGUGGAGCGGUGAUAUGCGUAGAUAUCGAGAGGAACGCCAAUGGCGAAGGCAGGUCGCUGGGAAUGUCCUGACGCUGAGGCCCGAAAGCCAGGGGAGCGAACGGGAUUAGAUACCCGCGUA